UGGAAGUAAAAGUCGUAACAAGGUUUCCGUAGGUGAACCUGCGGAAGGAUCAUUGUUGUUUCCUAGUGGACAGACCGCGAACAUGUCAUCUUUGCUCAAUUAUGCAGAGUUGGGUUCUCCACGCCUUGAUGGCGUGGUUCCCUUCUUUGCUAUUUGGCUUGUGCCUGUUUUGGCUUUAACCGCACUCGUUAAGGGGGCGGUGGCUUCAGCGGCAUAGGUCCAAAAAAACAAUCCGGCGCUAUUAAGCGUCAAGGAACAUUUACCAAAUGGAGGGGGCAUCUCACCACAAAAUAAAGUGGCAUGUGAUGGCACCUUUUCCUGAUCUAUGACGACUCUCGGCAACGGAUAUCUUGGCUCCCGCCACGAUGAAGAACGUAGCGAAAUGCGAUACUUGGUGUGAAUUGCAGAAUCCCGUGAAUCAUCGAGUUUUUGAACGCAAGUUGCGCCCGAGGCCAUUCGGCCAAGGGCACGYCUGCCUGGGCGUCAAGCUAUGUGUCGCCCUCUCCACGUUCUCGUGUAUUCGAGAUGGUAUUGAGAGAGAGCGGAGGAUUGGCCUUCGGUGCCAAGUUUCAUUGGCAUCGUAGGCUGAAACMUUACAUUUGGCUUAACGGUUUUGGUUGACGGCACAACGAGCGGUGGAUAUCCCAGUGAUUUGUUGUGCUUCACCUGAUCGAGAAAGGCCUGUCGGACUCUUAUGAUGCAAGUUGUAGCUUUUGAGUUUUUCUUGCCUCAUCCUUAGCGACCCCAGGUCAGGCGAGAUUACCCGCUGAGUUUAAGCAUAUCAAUAAGCGGAGGAA
rnacentral:rRNA from 1 species